UACGGAGGGAGCUAGCGUUGUUCGGAAUUACUGGGCGUAAAGCGCACGUAGGCGGCUUCUUAAGUCGGUGGUGAAAUCCUGGAGCUCAACUCCAGAACUGCCUCGAUACUGGGAAGCUCGAGUCCGGGAGAGGUGAGGUGGAACUGCGAAGUGUAGAGGUGAAAUUCGUAGAUAUUCGCAAGAACACCAGUGGCGAAGGGCGGCUCACUGGCCCGAGUACUGACGCUGAGGUGACGAAAGCGUGGGGAGCAAACAGGG
rnacentral:rRNA from 1 species